GUGGGGAAUAUUGGGCAAUGGGCGCAAGCCUGACCCAGCAACGCCGCGUGAAGGAAGAAGGCUUUCGGGUUGUAAACUUCUUUUACCAGGGACGAAACAAAUGACGGUACCUGGUGAAUAAGCCACGGCUAACUACGUGCCAGCAGCCGCGGUAAUACGUAGGUGGCGAGCGUUAUCCGGAUUUAUUGGGUGUAAAGGGCGUGUAGGCGGGACAGCAAGUCAGAUGUGAAAACCAGAGGCUCAACCUCUGGCCUGCAUUUGAAACUGUUGUUCCUGAGUGUCGGAGAGGUAAUCGGAAUUCCGUGUGUAGCGGUGAAAUGCGUAGAUAUACGGAGGAACACCAGUGGCGAAGGCGGAUUACUGGACGAUAACUGACGCUGAGGCGCGAAAGCGUGGGGAGCAAACAGGAUUAGAUACCCUAGUAGUCC
rnacentral:rRNA from 1 species